GUAGGUGGCAAGCGUUGUCCGGAAUUAUUGGGCGUAAAGCGCGCGCAGGUGGUUCUUUAAGUCUGAUGUGAAAGCCCCCGGCUCAACCGGGGAGGGUCAUUGGAAACUGGGGAACUUGAGUGCAGGAGAGGAAAGUGGAAUUCCACGUGUAGCGGUGAAGUGCGUAGAUAUGUGGAGGAACACCAGUGGCGAAGGCGACUUUCUGGCCUGUAACUGACACUGAGGCGCGAAAGCGUGGGGAGCAAACAGGGAUUAGAUACCCUGGUAGUCCACGCCGUAAACGAUGAGUGCUAAGUGUUGGGGGGGUUUCCCGCCCCUCAGUGCUGCAGCUAACGCAUUAAGCACUCCGCCUGGGGAGUACGGUCGCAAGACUG
rnacentral:rRNA from 1 species